rnacentral:misc_RNA from 1 species
CUCGGAGUGGGCCCUUACAAUAUGGCAUGGGAUCAGGGUUUGGCGUAGCUUCAACACCAGGCGCACAAAGUGCAAUUGAAUCAGGAAUUCCACCUAGAGAGGUGGCUCUGCAAAACACACGUCUUAUCCUGGGGAGAGUACUGGAAAACUGUGCACUAGGAAGGUGAAGAAACUAUAGAAAGUUGUUGCCUUUUGUAACCAGUAUUGGAA